CGGGGUGUAGCGCAGCGGCUAGCGCGCCACGUUCGGGACGUGGAGGCCGGUGGUUCGAAUCCACUCACCCCGACCA
rnacentral:tRNA from 1 species